GUCCCAGACUCCUACGGGAGGCAGCAGUGAGGAAUAUUGGUCAAUGGCCGUAAGGCUGAACCAGCCAAGUCGCGUGAAGGAAGAAGGAUCUAUGGUUUGUAAACUUCUUUUAUAGGGGAAUAAAGGUAUCCACGUGUGGAUAUUUGCAUGUACCCUAUGAAUAAGCAUCGGCUAACUCCGUGCCAGCAGCCGCGGUAAUACGGAGGAUGCGAGCGUUAUCCGGAUUUAUUGGGUUUAAAGGGUGCGUAGGCGGUUUUUUAAGUUAGUGGUUAAACGUCGGGGCUUCACCUUGAUUUGCCAUUAAUACUGUAAGACUCGAGUUCAGACGAGGUAGGCGGAAUAAGUUAAGUAGCGGUGAAAUGCUUAGAUAUAACUUAGAACUCCGAUAGCGAAGGCAGCUUACCAGACUGCGACUGACGCUGAAGCACGAGAGCGUGGGUAGCGAACAGGAUUAGAUACCCGAGAGA
rnacentral:rRNA from 1 species